rnacentral:lncRNA from 1 species
UAAAUUUGUAGUUAAAGAAACAUUUGGAACAGAAAAUUUGGGACUAAAAAUUUUGGAGGAUAACUGUGAUCAAACGGUCACCUUGACAUUAAAAUACGUUUUUGAUACAUCAGGUUUUGAGGAGGAAUGCAUUCUGAUGGCCGCACUAGCGUUAGUUCUUUGCAAAAUGAGUUGCUCUUCAUCCUUCUGAGGUGAAUUAAUUGACUCGUCUGAAUUCUUUCCUGCCAGCAACAAAUAUUUGUUGAGGAUGGCUACAUGCCAGAUAUUCUCCCGGGUGCUAGGGAUAAAGCAGGAAAUAACACACGCAAGAUCUCUGCUUUCACAGAGCUUAUUGUCUAGUUGGUGGAGGGGCAGUCACAUAAUAAAUUACCAAAUGGACCAACAAAAUAAAUACUUAGCUACCUACAAAGUACUGCUAGUGAUAAGUUAAUCGAUGAAAAGUAAAAUAGGAUGCAGUAAUGAAGCAGAGUCAGGAAAUACCUCUUCCUUAGAGAGAACAUUCAAACUGAGAUCUGCGAUCCUGAACAUGUAACUAUCAGGGAGGGCAAAUUCCUGAAUGCUGGGGGGAGAUGCUGUUUCUCCAUGGUGAUGGAAGACAUGUUUUGUCUCUUCAGAUUUAGGCUGCUGCCAGAGACACCGACUGUAGACUAAAGCAGGGAGAAUUAGCUCCAAAGCACUGGGACAGAGGCCAUCUGCUUGUGAAAGCAGCUUCUAAGAAAACAUACCUGUUCCCCUAUCCCUUCCUGCUCCUUCCCACAGGUCACUUGCCUUAAUGGUGUUUGCCAAGAGAGCCAUACCUUUGCCUUUUCUCAUUGCAUUUGUUUAUCUGUUUCAAAUUCUGUAUGCAAGGCCCAUUCUAAUUGAGUCAAUAAAAUAAAAUUCUCUAGGA